rnacentral:siRNA from 1 species
UAUGAGAUUUCCCAAGUCCAU